rnacentral:rRNA from 1 species
AUUGAACGCUGGCGGCAUGCCUUACACAUGCAAGUCGAGCGGCGGCGCGGGGGCAACCCUGGCGGCGAGCGGCGGACGGGUGAGUAAUACAUCGGAACGUGUCCUUUCGUGGGGGAUAACCAGUCGAAAGACUGGCUAAUACCGCAUGAGAUCUCACGAUGAAAGCGGGGGACCGCAAGGCCUCGCGCGAUUGGAGCGGCCGAUGUCGGAUUAGCUAGUUGGCGGGGUAAGAGCCCACCAAGGCGACGAUCCGUAGCUGGUUUGAGAGAACGACACGCCACACUGGGACUGAGACACGGCCCAGACUCCUACGGGAGGCAGCAGUGGGGAAUUUUGGACAAUGGGCGCAAGCCUGAUCCAGCCAUGCCGCGUGUGUGAAGAAGGCCUUCGGGUUGUAAAGCACUUUCGGCCGGAACGAAAUCGCGCGGGCGAACAUCCCGCGUGGAUGACGGUACCGGAAGAAGAAGCACCGGCUAACUACGUGCCAGCAGCCGCAGUAAGAC